GCUCGAAUGAAAAUAGACUGGAAUUCAAAUAUUUAGUUUUAAAACGAGUUUUAAAGCGAACGGUUGUUUGUGGCGGACGGUUGUAAAAUAUUUUUUGUUGUUUUCCUGUAAUUUUACGUUUGAAACUUUGCUCCAGCCAGCGAUAUUGCGGGAUUAAAUAGUUGAAUAAAAAAAAGAAAAAUUGAAAAAAAAAAAAAAAUAAAAGAAAAAACAAAACGAAAAAAAAAAGAAAUGCGAAAUUUAAUGAAUGUAAAUUAAGAAGAGAAAAAAAAAGAAAGAAUUAACGAAGUGCGAAGUAAAUAAUAACAGAAAUUAAAGCCAAACAAGUUAUUGCACAAAUCAGCAGUUUUUUUUUCUGCUGGAGGUGGUGAAGAAAAAGUUAAAAAAAAAUUAAAAAUUGAAAUAUUUGCAGUGAGAAAAAUUAAUAUUUGUUAGUAAAACGAAACAAAUAAAAAUAAUGAAAUUUCUUUUUUAAUAAAAAGAAAUUUUGAGAUUUAUAAAGUGAAAAAAAAUUAGAAGGAAAGGAGAGAAGAGAAGAAAAGCAACAAACGUAAUUAAAGAUUGCACAAAAGGAUAUUAUUUAACUAGAUUUUUAUUAUAAGAAACGAACGUGUUACUAGAGACGCAGAAGAUAUAAAUCGUUAACUGGUUUUUAAACGGUAAGUGGCAAAUUAGAACCUUGGGGAAAAAUUUUUUGAAAAGACCUAGACUUUUCAGCCCUGCUCAUUUUUGCUUGGAUGUGGAAAAAUUUUAUAUUUUUGAAGAGGCGGAAAUACUACCAUGUAUUCUCGGAUUAGUUUUCAAUAUUUUAACUCAUAUUGAAGAAAAAUAUAUUUUUUUCACU